AUUGAACGCUGGCGGCAGGCCUAACACAUGCAAGUCGAACGAGUGGCGGACGGGUGAGUAAUGUCUGGGAAACUGCCUGAUUGAGGGGGAUAACUACUGGAAACGGUAGCUAAUACCGCAUACCAUCAGAUGUGCCCAUAUGUGAUUAGCUUGUUGGUGGGGUAACGGAUCACCUAGUCGACGAUCCCUAGCUUGUCUGAGAGGAUGACCAGCAAAACUGGAACUGGGACACGGCCCAGACUCCUACGGGAGGCAGAAGUGGGGAAGAUUGCAAAAUGGGCGCAAGCCUGAUGCAGCCAUGCCGCGUGUAUGAAGAAGGCCUUAGGGUUGUAAAGUACUUUCAGCGGGGAGGCGUUACCCGCAGAAGAAGCACCGGCUAACUCCGUGCCAGCAGCAGCGGUAAUAC
rnacentral:rRNA from 1 species